rnacentral:rRNA from 1 species
GUGACCUCAGCUCAGGCGGGGCU